CAGUAGCCACGGUAAUACAGAGGGUGCGAGCGUUAAUCGGAUUUACUGGGCGUAAAGCGUGCGUAGGCGGCUUCUUAAGUCGGAUGUGAAAUCCCUGAGCUUAACUUAGGAAUUGCAUUCGAUACUGGGUAGCUAGAGUAUGGGAGAGGAUGGUAGAAUUCCAGGUGUAGCGGUGAAAUGCGUAGAGAUCUGGAGGAAUACCGAUGGCGAAGGCAGCCAUCUGGCCUAAUACUGACGCUGAGGUACGAAAGCAUGGGGAGCAAACAGGAUUAGAUACCCCCGUAGUCCAUGUCUCUUAUAA
rnacentral:rRNA from 1 species